rnacentral:rRNA from 1 species
UACGUAGGGACCGAGCGUUGUCCGGAUUCAUUGGGCGUAAAGAGCUCGUAGGCGGCUGUUCAAGUCGAACGUGAAAACUCGGAGCUCAACUCCGAGCCUGCGUUCGAUACUGGACGGCUAGAGUCUGGUAGGGGGAUCUGGAAUUCCUGGUGUAGCGGUGGAAUGCGCAGAUAUCAGGAGGAACACCGGUGGCGAAGGCGGCGACCUGGUCCGUGACUGACGCUGAGGCGCGAAAGCGUGGGGAGCAAACAGG